rnacentral:tRNA from 1 species
UAGCUCAGUCAGUUGAGCAUGGUGCUGAUAACACCAAGGUCGUGGGUUCGAUCCCCAU